AGAAUCAACGCUGGCGGCGUGCCUAACACAUGCAAGUCGCACGAGAAAGGGGCUUCGGCUCUGAGUAAAGUGGCGCACGGGUGAGUAACACGUGACUAAUCUACCCUCGAGUGGGGAAUAACUGAGGGAAACCUGGGCUAAUACCGCAUAACACUUACGAGUCAAAGCAGCAAUGCGCUGAAAGAGGGGGUCGCGGCCGAUUAGCUAGUUGGCGGGGUAAUGGCCCACCAAGGCAGUGAUCGGUA
rnacentral:rRNA from 1 species